rnacentral:rRNA from 1 species
GAAGGAGUAAACCGGGAGAAAUUUUUUUGGAAUUAAAUAAUGAAUUUCACUUUUUAGGAAGGCUAAAAUUUUUCUUUUAGACGAGAAGACCCUAUAAAACUUUAUAUUUUUAUAUUUAUAGCUAAAAUAAAAAAAAUAUUUCACUGGGGUGGUGAAGAAAAGAUCUUUCUUAAAAUAAUUUAACAUACUAGUUAAAUAUACGUAGAAUUUGUAAAAAAGAAAUAAGUUACUAUAGGGAUAACAGCUUAAUUUAUUUUGAAAGUUGUAAUUGACAAAUAAUAUGACCUCGAUGUUGAAAUAAAAUACCUUUUUUAUGCAAAA